GAACGCCGUAUGAAGGGAAACUUUCACGUACGGUGUGAGACGGGGGAAAAGGGGCCGUAACAGGUAAUGCUGACGCACCCCCU
rnacentral:ncRNA from 1 species